rnacentral:rRNA from 1 species
GUCUGCUUAAUUGCGUUUCAAAUUUUUAUUUGAGGACCAGGUUUUGGUUUGGGUAGUGGUCCUACGAUGACUGUGAACUGUCAUGUCUUCGGAUGUGCGACUAUCGGUCUAGGAUCGCAUCUCAGCCCCUGGGACUCUUUUGAACGCAACGGACGUGAUUGCAACCCCUUGUUGAGAUUAGAGGAGUCUCGAUAUUCAUUGGCCAAACUUACCGCUUCGAGCUUGCUCGUGCAGUUUUGUUAGCCGGUGGAUAAACUCGGGGGACUGCUGACUAUAACCAUUUCUCAAAACAGAGGAAGGUUGCGGCAAUAACAGGUCUGUGAUGCCCUCAGAUGU